rnacentral:rRNA from 1 species
UGGGGAAUUGUUCGCAAUGGGCGCAAGCCUGACGACGCAACGCCGCGUGGAGGAUGAAGAUUUUCGGAUCGUAAACUCCUGUCGAAUGGGACGAAUAGAUUGUGGGUUAACAGCCCAUGGUCCUGACGGUACCGUUAAAGGAAACCCCUGCUAACUCCGUGCCAGCAGCCGCGGUAAUACGUAGGGUGCAAGCGUUAAUCGGAAUUACUGGGCGUAAAGGGUGCGCAGGCGGCCCCGCAUGUCAGGCGUGAAAUCCCCGAGCUUAACUUGGGAAUGGCGCUUGAAACUACGGGGCUGGAGUGUGGCAGAGGGAGGUGGAAUUCCACGUGUAGCGGUGAAAUGCGUAGAGAUGUGGAGGAACACCGAUGGCGAAGGCAGCCUCCUGGGCCAACACUGACGCUCAUGCACGAAAGCGUGGGGAGCAA